UGUGCCAGCCGCCGCGGUAAUACGAAGGGUGCAAGCGUUACUCGGAAUUACUGGGCGUAAAGCGUGCGUAGGUGGUUCGUUAAGUCUGAUGUGAAAGCCCUGGGCUCAACCUGGGAACUGCAUUGGAUACUGGCGAUCUGGAGUGCGGUAGAGGGUAGCGGAAUUCCCGGUGUAGCAGUGAAAUGCGUAGAUAUCGGGAGGAACAUCCGUGGCGAAGGCGGCUACCUGGACCAGCACUGACACUGAGGCACGAAAGCGUGGGGAGCAAACAGGAUUAGAUA
rnacentral:rRNA from 1 species